UACGUAGGGGGCUAGCGUUGUCCGGAAUCAUUGGGCGUAAAGCGCGUGUAGGCGGUUCGGUAAGUCCGCUGUGAAAGUCGGGGGCUCAACCCUCGAAUGCCGGUGGAUACUGUCGGACUAGAGUACGGAAGAGGCGAGUGGAAUUCCUGGUGUAGCGGUGAAAUGCGCAGAUAUCGGGAGGAACACCAAUGGCGAAGGCAGCUCGCUGGGACGGUACUGACGCUGAGACGCGAAAGCGUGGGGAGCAAACAGG
rnacentral:rRNA from 1 species